UACGGAGGUUGCAAGCGUUAAUCGGAAUUACUGGGCGUAAAGGGUGCGUAGGUGGUUGAUUAAGUUAUCUGUGAAAUCCCCGGGCUCAACCUGGGCAGGUCAGAUAAUACUGAUUGACUCGAGUAUAGGAGAGGGUAGUGGAAUUUCCGGUGUAGCGGUGAAAUGCGUAGAGAUCGGAAGGAACACCAGUGGCGAAGGCGGCUACCUGGCCUAAUACUGACACUGAGGCACGAAAGCGUGGGGAGCAAACAGG
rnacentral:rRNA from 1 species